GACGAACGCUGGCGGCGUGCUUAACACAUGCAAGUCGAACGGAAAGGCCCUGCUUUUGUGGGGUGCUCGAGUGGCGAACGGGUGAGUAACACGUGAGUAACCUGCCCUUGACUUUGGGAUAACUUCAGGAAACUGGGGCUAAUACCGGAUAGGAGCUCCUGCUGCAUGGUGGGGGUUGGAAAGUUUCGGCGGUUGGGGAUGGACUCGCGGCUUAUCAGCUUGUUGGUGGGGUAGUGGCUUACCAAGGGUUUGACGGGUAGCCGGCCUGAGAGGGUGACCGGCCACAUUGGGACUGAGAUACGGCCCAGACUCCAACGGGAGGCAGAAGUGGGGAGUAUUGCACAGUGGGCGGAAGCCUGAUGCAGCAACGCCGCGUGCGGGAUGACGGCCUUCGGGUUGUAAACCGCUUUCGCCUGUGACGAAGCGUGAGUGACGGUAAUGGGUAAGGAAGCACCGGCUAACUACGUG
rnacentral:rRNA from 1 species